AGAGUUUGAUCCUGGCUCAGGAUGAACGCUAGCGACAGGCUUAACACAUGCAAGUCGAGGGGCAGCAUGAUUUGUAGCAAUACAGAUUGAUGGCGACCGGCGCACGGGUGAGUAACGCGUAUGCAACUUACCUAUCAGAGGGGGAUAGCCCGGCGAAAGUCGGAUUAAUACCCCAUAAAACAGGGGUCCCGCAUGGGAAUAUUUGUUAAAGAUUCAUCGCUGAUAGAUAGGCAUGCGUUCCAUUAGGCAGUUGGCGGGGUAACGGCCCACCAAACCGACGAUGGAUAGGGGUUCUGAGAGGAAGGUCCCCCACAUUGGUACUGAGACACGGACCAAACUCCUACGGGAGGCAGCAGUGAGGAAUAUUGGUCAAUGGCCGAGAGGCUGAACCAGCCAAGUCGCGUGAAGGAAGAAGGAUCUAUGGUUUGUAAACUUCUUUUAUAGGGGAAUAAAGUGGAGGACGUGUCCUUUUUUGUAUGUACCCUAUGAAUAAGCAUCGGCUAACUCCGUGCCAGCAGCCGCGGUAAUACGGAGGAUGCGAGCGUUAUCCGGAUUUAUUGGGUUUAAAGGGUGCGUAGGUGGUGAUUUAAGUCAGCGGUGAAAGUUUGUGGCUCAACCAUAAAAUUGCCGUUGAAACUGGGUUACUUGAGUGUGUUUGAGGUAGGCGGAAUGCGUGGUGUAGCGGUGAAAUGCAUAGAUAUCACGCAGAACUCCGAUUGCGAAGGCAGCUUACUAAACCAUAACUGACACUGAAGCACGAAAGCGUGGGGAUCAAACAGGAUUAGAUACCCUGGUAGUCCACGCAGUAAACGAUGAUUACUAGCUGUUUGCGAUACACUGUAAGCGGCACAGCGAAAGCGUUAAGUAAUCCACCUGGGGAGUACGCCGGCAACGGUGAAACUCAAAGGAAUUGACGGGGGCCCGCACAAGCGGAGGAACAUGUGGUUUAA
rnacentral:rRNA from 1 species